UAAAACCACGUCAUGGUACAUGGAUGAGCCUGCGGACCAUUCUCUCAAGAGCUUCAGUAAGGAGGGAUUGGUAUAAAGAGUUUGCCAUCUGGUAACCUCAAACUUUGCCUGCAGGAAACGGGAGUUUGAUUAAUAUAGGACAAUUGAAAGAACGGAUGCAAAUAAUUGCUGGGUUUUCAGGCCGUGGAGACAGGAGGCCGUCGAAAGUGAAACUGAAUGACAAAUGGCUUCACUCUGAAGCAACUAGGAUCAACAACUCAGAUCUGGAUGGUGACCUGUAGUUUACAAUCCCAUCAGAAGAGUUGAGCUGGUCCUUUAAGGAGGCUGGCCAGAAAAUUGAAAAGAAGUCCAGAUGAUCACAGGACCUGGCUGCCAUAGAGUGCCAUAUUGAUGGAAAUGGCCUGUGCCUCCGCUUGAGGCCAUGAGAAAGCGCAUGCCCGAUGCUCCUACUGAACACAAAGAGCAAGGAAGCUACUUUGGCAGUGAUAUCAGUGACUGCAGUUGAGAAAGAGGACAUAGAAGAGUUCUGUGACUACCCCACCCCAAAAUAACACCCUAAAAUGAAAGUCAUCGGAGAGAACCCUUCAAAAUUGUGAUAAAGAUGCUAAAUGGUAGCUUUCCACCAUUGAUGGCAUCUGGGAGGGACUGAGGUGGAGAAGGACUCAGUUUUCUUUAGGAUGCUGACCCCAGGGAGUUUGAUCAUUCUCCAAUGUGAGACAGAAGAGGGCCACUUAUUCAUUGGUAGGCUUGGAGAUCAAAGCCAAGGCUUCAAAAACACUAAGGAAGUGCCAUCUACCAGAAAACCACAUCCCCAGCCCUGAAACAUUUAUUUGGAAACUUGGAUGAUACUUCUUAGGAAAACCCUUGGCUAAAGACGGAAUGAAGAUUUAAACAACUAAAGACUGAAGUCAGAGGAAUCCAUAAUAAAUAAGCAAGCCGAAUAGGACCAAUUAAAAAGCACAUCUGCCCAUGGUCAUCACAGAGAAGUGCAUUGUGUUGUCUCAGAAGGACUCCGCAGCAGCUGAAGGGGGACACUGUGUGAGAGAGAGAGAGAGAGUGAGAGAGAGAGAGAGAAUGAGAGAGAGAGAGAGAGAGAGAGAGAGAGAGAGAGAGAGAGAGAGAUGAAUGACUAGAGAAGCAAACGUGCUGUGAGAAACGUCAAAAUCUGGGUGGGUAGAGUUAGAACCAGAGGAAGAAUCUAGACUAGCAGGCAAACAGAGAUUUUAGCUGGACAUUCAGGACCACAUUUGAAGUCACAGGAGGAAAAACAACAAACAAACAAACAACAAGCCAACCACUAGAACUGAAAUCUGGCUAGAGGGUGAUCCUGUGAAUAUAUUCCAAAGAGAAUAUAAUGAAAGAGUGAACAUGACAGUUUAAAGGGAAGCUUACUGUUCUCCCUCAUUUUCUCUCAUGUAUAACUUAGUGUUUGAUUUCUGAAUGUAUGUGCACAAUUUCUCCACUAGCUAGAUUACAACAAGCAGGGUGACUGAACUGCCUUAGCACUUAAUACCAUCUACACAGGUAAUUUCAUGCCAUGAAGCCCGGAGCAUGUCCAGAUGCUGUGAAGAACAGGAGAGGUCCCCAGCUUCUAAGCAGUUGGUGAACAUAGAAUUUGGAAGAAUAAUUUGGUGCCAUUCUCCCAGUGGAGGAGUUAGAGGAAGGACUGAAGGAGCUGAAGGGGUUUGCAACUCCAUAGGAAGAACAACGAUAUUAACCAACCAGAGCUCCAAGAGUUCCCAGGGACUAAACCAUCAACCAAAGAGGGACCCACAGCUCCAGCUACAUAGCAGAGGAUGCCCUUGUUGGGCAUCAGUGGGAGGAGAAACCCUUGGUGCUGUGAAGACUCCAUGACUGGGGAAUGGUAGGGCGGUGAGGUGGGAGUGGGUGGAUGGGUGGGAGAGCACCUUCAUAGAAGCACGGAGAGGGAGGAUGGGAUAGGUUUCUGGACCGGAAACCAGGAAAGGAGAUACCAUUUGAAAUGCAAAUAAAGAAAACAUCCAAUUUUAAAUAAAUAAAUAAAAUAAACAGAUACAACGUCAAUGCACCACUGAUGCCAAUGCUAUUUUAUUACAAUAAAAAAAAAUGAUUGCCACUUGCUAAAAUCUCCACAAAUGAGUUUUUCUCUUUUUCACAGAUGUUAGCCAUAACCCACAUCCCACAGAAGCAUACUGUGUUCUGUGGUCUCUCAGCCAACGUGGGGUCACCCACAUUCUAUCAUGAGAAGGGCCUUGUUUCCUCUUCAGACUUCUUUUUUUUUAAUUAAUUGAUUUAUUUAUUCUUACACUCCAGAUUUUAUUCCCCUCCCAGUCCACCUCCCGACUGCUCCACAUCCCAUCCCUCUUCCCUGCCCCCUCUCCUCUCGACAAGGAUGGUCCCCACCGCACCCACCCCACCAGACCUUUAAACUUCCUGGAGCUUCCAGCCUCUUGAGGGUUAGGUGCAUCUUCUCUGACUGAACCCAGACCCAGGAGUCCUCUGUGUUGGGGUCCUCAUCUCAGCUGGUGUGCGCUGCCUGCUUGGUGAUCCAGUGUCUGAGAGAUCUCAGGGGUCCAGGUUAACUGAGACUGCUGUUCCUCUUAUAGGGUUGACUGUCUCCUCAGCUUCCUGCAGCUUUUCCCUAAUUCAACCAGAGGGUCAGUAGUUUUUUGUUCAUUGGUUGGGUACACAUAUCUGCAUCUAAUUCUUUCAGCUGCUUGUUGGGUCUUUUGGAGGGCAGUCAUCUUAAGUCCAUUUUUGUGAAUGCCCAGUAGCCUCAAUAAUGGUGUCAGGCCUUGGGGCCUUCCCUUGAGAUGGAUCCCACCUUGGGUCUGUCGCUCUCUCUUUUCCUCAGGCUGUUCUCCAUUUCCAUCCCUGCAUUUCCUUCAGACAGGAAGAAUUAUGGGUCAGAGCUUUGACUGUAGGAUAGCAACCCCAUCCCUCACUUGAUGCCCUGUCUUUCUGCUGGAGGUGGGUUCAAUAAGUUUCCUCUCCCCACUGUAGGGCAUUUCAUCUAGUGUUCCCCUCCCACCUUUGAGUCCUGAGAACCUCUCACUUUCCAGGUCUCUGGUAUAUUCUAGAGCAUCCUCUCAACCUCCUUCCUCCAAGGGCAUCUGUUUCCAUUCUUUCUGCUGGCCCUCAGGGCUUCAGUCCUUUUCCCCUACCCACUACCAGAUCAUGUUCUCCUCUCUCCACCACCUCCAUUCCCUGUCACUCCCCUGCCCCUUCCUCCCCCCUUGUGAUUGCUUUCUUCUCCCUCCCAAGUGGAAUGAGGCAUCCUCACUUGGGACUUUCAGCUUGUUGACCUUUUUGAGUUCUAUGGUCUGUAUCUUGGGUAUUCUGUACUUUUUUGGCUAAUAUUCACUUAUCAGUGAGAACAUACUGUGCAUGUCCUUUUGGGUCUGAGUUACCUCACCCAGGAUGGUAUUUUCUAGUUUCAUCCAUUUUCCUACAAAAUUCAGUAUGUCCUAGUUCCUAAUAGCUGAGUAGUGUUCCAUUGUGUAAGUGAACCACAUUUUCUUUAUUCUUCCAUUGUGAGGCAUCUGGGUUGUUUCCAUCUUCUGGCUAUCAUGAAUAGGCCCUUAUGAACAUAGUGGAACAUGUGCCUCUGUGGCAUGGUGGGUCACUUUUUGGGUAUAUUCCCAAGAGUGGUAUUGCUGGGUCUUUAGAUCAGUCUAUUUCCAAAUUUCUGAGGAACCUCCAAAUUGAUUUCCAGAGUGGUUUUACCAGUUUGCAAUCCCACCAGUAAUGGAGGAGUGUUCCUCUUUCUCCACAUCCUUGCCGACAUGUGUUGUCACCUGAGGUUUUGAUCUUAACCAUUCUGACUGGUGUGAGGUGGAAUCCUGCUUUCCACAGUGAUCAGUAAGCCCCAAUGCCAGAGCUCUACAGAUGUAUAGGUGGCCUUGCUGAGGUCACUUUGCUGUAUUGUGUACUGGGAGGAACAGAAUACGGCUUCUGUCACAUAGACUUUUACCAGAAGUAGGAUGGGAUCAUGAAUUUAAUAUGUCUUUUGUCAAUCUCCUUUCAUUCUCUUCCACACCGAUAAACAAUUCUGUAUCUCUUUAAGGAUUCCUGCUCUGGUGUGUAUGUGUUUAUGUGAACGUAUGUGCAUGUAUAUGUGUAAACACUCAUGUGGUCAUCUCUAUACUUUAUUUACUUCCAAUAGAUAGACUGGGGAGGUGGAAAUCCAGUUCAGUGACAUCUUCAGAGGAAGAACACUAGCCUUGAGGGAAGUAACUGAAAAACAACCUCAAGCUUGCUUCAAACAGUAGUGUUUGAGAAAAAAGACCUAGGGCAGAAACAAAUUCAGAGUACCUCAAAGGUCCUAAGAGAUUCGCAGAAGCGUUUUCACAGGCAACCUCCCACUCUGGGUGGGAAAAUAAGAAAUGUUAAGUCACAGAUGUGUUCCUUUUCACUCAUUCUUACCCUGAGGUUUAGUAGUCAUGAAAUAACUGGUCAUAUCAAUAAAAUGUGUGGACCUGCAUAUUUUAAUCAGCUCAUUAUAGUAACUUGUGUCCUCUAAGUAGCCUAUGACAUCAUGUUAUGUGCCUUGUGUGUGCAUAACAUAAUUUAAAAUAUAUAAUAAAUGCAAGAAAUUUCAAUUAGAAUGAGAGAGAAAGAUGUGUAUGUGAUGGAUAUGCCAACUCCCUCACUGUCAUAGCUGUUUACUCCAUAGCACAUAAUAUUGUAUUGAGUUCUUUAAAUGUACACAAUACCAUCCACUCAUGUUAGUGUGUUUUGGGGCACUGAGAAUUGAAUACAAGGCCCUGUGCAUGCUCACCAGCUCUCCACUGCUGAGCCAUAGUGGAAGCAUCAAUUUAUCUUUUUUUUUCCUUUUUUUGGAGCUGAGGACCGAACCCAGGGCCUUGUGCUUACUAGGCAAGCGCUCUACCACUGAGCUAAAUCCCCAACCCCUCAAUUUAUCUUUUUAAAGCAUCAGACUACACCCUCCCAAAAACUCCAAUUAUAAUACAAAGAAAAGGAGAAACGCAAAGCAAAGUGUGUACACACGGAAGCUGAUGUGUGGCUAUUCAAAGGGGGAGAUGUAUGGGAAGCCUCUUGAGCAAAGUCCCCAGAUCUAUGAGACACCCUGAAAAUACUAGUGGGAGAUAAAAUUAGUUAGAAUGAAAAGGACAAGCCUUGGAGACAUCCAUCUCCUGCAAUGUCUCCAUAAAAUCAUAACAGAGCUUAGAAAACUUUUGUCACAGCCUUCUGAGUUUUGCUCAAUAAAAUUAUGACAGAGGUCUCUAGGGCAUAGAACAAAAAUUUAUCCAUCAAGACAGAAUGAUGAGGGAUCUUAAUAUUGUUAUGAAUGACUCUGAGGCAAACUACUGUGGAGUUAUAUUAAUACAAAGCCGGUGGGUUAUUUCACUUAGCUCUCAAAAACUAUUUAAGGGGAGGGCUUCUCUAAUCACAGGAGUAACAACACCUUUUUGACUAUCUUAUUAUCUUGAAAUUACCUAACACACACAUACUAGAGAGUUAAAAUAACCACUUAUAUUACAUAUUGGCUUUCCAGUCUUUUGGAAAUUGGAACCUCUGUUGGAAUUUUGUAAUUAUUUAUAAGUCAUUUGUUAAUCAUCUAUAGCCUUUACUGUAAAAAUUAAAUGGAGUCCCAUGUCUGUCAUGGGUUGAGGCUGGGGGGCUCCUCACUCACUUACUGUUACAUGCAUUGAGUAUCAGCUCCUCUUGGCUACGAUUGACUAGAGGGUAGAAGGGGAUAUCUAAAGAAAGCCAGCCCAGCCUAAAGUGGUCUGCAGUGGACAAGGAAAGGCAGUGCAAGUCUUGGUUAACUUUCUAAGCAGUGCUGUUGAGUCGGACCCAACUGCUGAUUUUCCAUCGAAUCUAUAGUGCCUGACAAAGGUUUGACCACCGGAAACUCCUUGUGUUUAUUCUU